UACGAGAGGCCCAAACGUUAUUCGGAAUUACUGGGCUUAAAGAGUUCGUAGGCGGUGCGGUAAGUGGGGUGUGAAAGCCCUCGGCUCAACCGAGGAAUUGCGCUCCAAACUACCACACUCGAGGAGGAUAGAGGUAAGCAGAACUGAUGGUGGAGCGGUGAAAUGCGUUGAUAUCAUCAGGAAUACCGGAGGCGAAGGCGGCUUACUGGGUCCUUUCUGACGCUGAGGAACGAAAGCUAGGGGAGCAAACGGG
rnacentral:rRNA from 1 species